CUUGGUCAUUUAGAGGAAGUAAAAGUCGUAACAAGGUUUUCGUAGGUGAACCUGCGGAAGGAUCAUUAGUGAACACUGGAUUCUGCCUCUGAAAAGAGAAAGUCUCCUUUCCACUACCACACACACUUGUGCAUCUGUUCUUUCUUACAAUUUACUUUGUAAAGGAUUUUUAACACUUGUGCUAAAUCUUAAUGUCGUUGAUGUAAAACAAUUUGAUAAAUGAAAGAAAAACUUUCAGCAAUGGAUCUCUUGGCUCUCGCAUCGAUGAAGAACGCAGCGAAACGCGAAAUGUAAUGUGAAUUGCAGAAUUCAGUGAAUCAUCGAAUCUUUGAACGCACCUUGCGCUCUCGGGUUAUUCCUGGGAGCAUGCUUGUUUGAGCUUUUAAAACCUCUCAACCCCGCCUUUGUUAAUCAAAGGUUGCUUGGGCUUGGAUCGUGACGCUUGUCGGUGUUACAACCGACUGCGUUGAAAUACAACAAGCUGAAUCAUCACACUUGCGGCUUGACCUAUUGUUGUAACUUAAAUUCAAUAGGAACGCAUUAAAGUUGAACGAGCUUACCAUAAAUGUGUCUCUGUACACAAAGUGAUUAUUAAACUCAAAUCAAGUAGGACUACCCGCUGAACUUAAGCAUAUCAAUAAGCGGAGGA
rnacentral:rRNA from 1 species